rfam:Spinacia oleracea cultivar SynViroflay scaffold18701.con0005.1, whole genome shotgun sequence.
UGAUGAAGGAAGCAUGGUAGUGUGCACGGAGAUUGAUGAUAAGGUCUACAUGUCUGCCCCCUCUGAUUCUCUCUGAUUUGGGGGCCUGGUUUUAGACCUAUAUUU